CUCAGCCUCUCGAAGCUCCGUGUUCGGUCGUUGCCUUCUAGCGCCGCUAGCCGCAGGCAGCCCGAGAUGUUUCUUCCCCGCCACCCCUCUCUCCCUCGUGGGCUCGUGGCUUCGUCUCCGGUCGUUCCCUAGUUCCCUGCCGGUAGCGCGACAGCUUUCCUCCUCUCUACUCGUUUCCUUCCCUCAUCAUCUCCGUGGCAUCUCCAUCGGCGAUGAAGCUGUUUUCCAACGCCGCACAGGUUGGAUUCGAUUCGAAGAAUCCCGACAACUAGCGUUUCUACUCGCCGGCGCGCAGUUGAGGUACUCCAUCUUCCGCGACAGUCUAGACGACGGACAAGGAGAUGGCGGCUGGGAGCGACACAAAGGAAGAGUGGAGAAGUCACCCCGCGGCAGAGGUGCCUGGUGACUGACUCACUGGUGCGCCAUCAAUUAGUCCUCACGCGUGCAGGCAAGCGCUGCACCGGUUGAGUUGAUGUCAACACAGUGUAUUUAUGCGCAACAAGUGCAAGCUAGCCUGAUUAUGUGCUAGUAGUGCUACAUCAAAGUCCAGCUCCAAAUCGCUUAUCAGAGGAUCAGCCUCCUCCAUCUUGCCUUCUCGGACACCAUAGCAAGUGCUGCUGAUUGCUGCUUACCGAUUGUUUGCCCUGCCUCUACUGCCGGCACCAUCCAUCGCCAAGUUGGCGAGCAAUUGGAAGCGCAAACAUAGGCGCAUCGUCUCUGCUGCUUGCAAAGUAUUCGACAAAAUAUCCAGCGCCUUACACAGCAAGCUGCACAGUCCUGUUCGCGCAAUACCAUGCAUUAAGUGUAGUCAAUUCCAUGUUUGUACUUGCGAGAAAAUUAAACCGCGAUGUGAUUAACUCUAUUUGUGCAGUUCACAAUGGUGUGAAACGGCAACUGCAAGCCGACACUAGAGCCAAGAGGGACAGCCUGUUGACAAGCACUUCGACCGCAAUAUCAUGAGCUGCCAGGCAACAAGGAAAGCAGGCUACUGCAGUUCACUGUAAUUCAGCAAUCUAAGACACCAAUGACAUUACCAUGAGCAUGUCACUGCACCAAAUGAGCCGGUACUGUAUCUGUGGAGUCACCUAGCAUCUAGGAGAACGAAGGCGGCAAGCUUGGGAGAAACAUGUUGUUGAAAUUCUCAAGAACACGUAAUUCUACCUUCCGCGAUCGUAAGAUCCUGGACAGAAUCCUCAACCAUGAGUAAUUAACUCUUUGCAAAGGAUCAGACACUAGAAAGAUGUUGGAGUUCAUGUGCAGAAGAAAAGAGCAAAAGUUGGACCGACAAUUUGGGAGCCUCAUGCUAAGAUAACAGAACAAAUAUGCGACUCCACCGAAGUGGCAGUCUCAAGUAGGGAAUACCUUGGAUGCUUAAGUUUAUGGUGCGGUGUUAAUUUGUCGUCUACAUAUCAUAUUUCAUAUGACAGCUAAUAGAUUUUUUUUUCACAAAGGAUAAUAAAGGGUGAUAAGUGGAAACAGAAUUUCAACUUAUCACCCUUUAAUAUCCUGUGUAAAAAUAAAAUAUUUAUGUACUCAAGUUGGAUUUAUAAUGUUGAUGACCUACUUUUCAUCUUUGGUAUACUUCAA